UACGUAGGGUGCAAGCGUUGUCCGGAAUUAUUGGGCGUAAAGAGCUCGUAGGCGGUUUGUUGCGUCGGCUGUGAAAUCCCGAGGCUCAACCUCGGGUCUGCAGUCGAUACGAGCAAACUAGAGUGUUGCAGGGGAGACUGGAAUUCCUGGUGUAGCGGUGAAAUGCGCAGAUAUCAGGAGGAACACCGGUGGCGAAGGCGGGUCUCUGGGCAGUAACUGACGCUGAGGAACGAAAGCGUGGGUAGCAAACAGG
rnacentral:rRNA from 1 species